CACCGCAUUGUUUCUUUCACUGUGAUCGGGCUCAUCGUAUUUGGUUCCUAUCCCUUCUAAUUUUAAUACAGAGAACCUUCACAGGGACCACAUCCCACACUGCUGGCUUUUCCUGAUGAAUUAUUUUCUUUAGCAGUGACCCUUCUUUGGGCACUGUGGAAGGCCUUCAAAAAUUAAACCUGGUCAAUGCAACAAGCUAUUGACAAAGUGGCUGCCUACGAAUUGGGUUUUAUUGUUCGCUACUUUUGUUGCCCUUUCCUUUGUGCCCACUCAUCCUAACAAUAGGUCAGACAAUAAGGCUCUCAAUAGCAAGCUCCUCUUAGAGGCUUCCUUGAAAUAAACUUUGAUGCAAUAGUUAAAAAGCAGUCUAACCAAAGCGACUUCAGUUUUGUUGCUCACUCUUAUACUGGUGAAGUGGUUGAUUGUGGUGCCUGCAUUUAUAGUUCCUAACAUUUCGGAUGCAGUGUUACUAGAAGAAAUGGGGCUUAGAGUUGUUGAAUAGGUUGUUCAAAAAGGUUUAUCCGAAAGUCAUUGUGGAGGGGGAUGCUAAAGGGUUGAUUCAAGGUAUGAAUGGCAAUUUCAGUUCUUCCAUGGAUGCCAUUAUUGAUGAUAUUUUUCAUCUUUCUCAUAGUUUCUAUUAUAUCUCUUUCAUGUUUGUAAGAUCUCUUAAUUAGGUG
rnacentral:lncRNA from 1 species